rnacentral:lncRNA from 1 species
GAUCCAUAUACAUCACAGUACUUUCUGCAGAACGUAAGCUCCCCGAAGGCAGGGACUGUCCAGGGAUGGUCUGUAACCCUAGCAUAAUGCCUUGCAUAGUAGUUCCUUGGUGACUGCUGAGCUGAAUUAAUAAGAGGACUUUGCUGGGGGAGAGGGAGGGAGGGCUAGAAGUCUACAGAGGGGCCGCCUUAGCAUCACGUUCUCUCUGAAAGUUGGUUUUAGCUGCCUCUAUAAAGUCGGUGCAGUCACGAGGCUUUGGCGGGCACAACGGGGUAGCUAGGACUGUGGCCGUGGCCAGAGGACUGCUUCCUCUUCCCAUCCUACAACAGCAGCAUCAAUUCAACUCCAGUGCUGAGCCUGGGACCAUGAGGCAGUUGGGGGAAGUGGGUCCCACCCAGUGGUUUCUUUUGAGAUGGAUAAAAGGAGAAAAGGAAGAGGGGCUGGGCACCCUCCCAGCCUGGCAUUCCUUACUGUGCCACACGCCUGUGUCCUGACCAUGCAGCUGCCGCACCUGCGGCAAGGGGGAGGGGUAAGGGGCACAGUCUGCAACCACGUUCUCUUGCUGACUUAGAGCAGGCGCGGAGCCUGAAUGAGACAGACCAGCCAUCUCCAGCCUUGCCACUCUGGGAGCUGGGGGGAAGGCGAUAAGAUGGCAGACAAUCCUUUCUCCCUGAGCGGGAAGCCUCUGGGGAGCUGAGACUGUCCGGUGCUGACUCAGCAGUCUCACACCUGCCUUAGGUAUUUUAAGCCAUCCCCACUGAGCAAGCGUUUCUCCUUUGGGAUUUUGCUGAGUACCUGAGCUGGGCUUUCAGUGCAGGCAAUAUACGUCAGGGCAUGGAAAAAGCUCUUAAGAAGCUGGAAGAGAAGGCUAAAAGAAAUGAGGUCAGGUAGAGGCAAGGAAAGAUUCAUGAAGAGGCCCAGAGUCCUAGGCUUUGGGGGAAGAGGGUGAUGGGAGAACUCUGGGAAGAUGGGACCACAUUCAUCUCCAGAGGAUCAACUAUCUUGCAGCUCCGAGACCCUAACUCCUGAGGAAUGAGCGUCUGGACUGGCCCGGCAAAGCAGGCAGAAAUUCAAACAUGUGACCUUUCAUCAUUCUACAGGAGAUGGGGAGAGUGAAGACUCAGGACUGGGGAUACAGGGUGGGUUAGGUCGCCAGCAAGGACGACCAAAAAUCAAGCCUUCCCUCCUCAAAUUCCAAGCAAAGCAUGUGGUUAUUCUGGGCCCAAGUGACUUGGACAGAAAAUGCCUCUUUUGCCUACCUGAUGAGACCACAGAUUAAGAGGUGAAGGCCUGACCCUUAAGGAG